GGGUAUUAACGUGGACGGCUGGGAUUGCAUGGACGUCUCGCUGUCCAUGAAUUCCUAAUAGCAGUUUCGGGCAUUAUCAUGGACGAUGAAGCGAUAUACCAAUCAUCCGAAAUGCAUGGACGCGCCCGUUCGUCCUUGAGAAUACUCCUAUGUAAAAUGCUAUCCUAGAUUAGUGUGUUUUUUCACCACCACGUGGCGAUAGCAUCGCCCUUUUAGAGCGACAUUUUGAUUGGUUGGCAUUUUUGUAAGACCGGUUCUGAUUGGUCGUCCAUGAAAAGAAGUCAGUUCUCACUAAUCGUCAGCUGUUGCAAGGCUUGAAGCCGUUGGUAAGCAACAUCGGCGGCGCCGAGAAAGUUCUCGCGGCAAUUUCCAUGUGCGUUUUUCUGUGUUGGAAGAGUCGUGUCGCGUUUGGUUGGCGUUUGGAUUGUGCUCUAGGCGAGUGGAUAACGAUGGGUGGAAAUAGAAAGGAUGCGACCUCCAGAAAAAUGAACCUUCAGUGCACAAGGGAUUCCAGAGAAAAACUGUUCGCGCGCGCUCAUACAGGCGACGCCGUCGCCAUCACCAACAGUCUCGCGCUCGGACGCCCAUCGGAUACAGACGGAGGAGAGUGAGGCGCUGGACGAGCCUGUCUCUUGCCGUGCUGAAGACGCUGCGUCGGAAGACCGUCAGUUCCGGUUGGUGAAUCUGGCUGCUCUGACUCCGUCCAGCUGGCCGACGGGCGAGUGCCUACACAGCAGCUCGCUGGCGCCGCCGUUGCGCGCGCGCGUCCAGACGGCAGUCGGCCCGCGGGCCAGCCUCGCACUUCGCAGCAUCUGUAGUGGCCGUGCUGCGCGGAGGAAUGCAUCCGGGAGCUGCCGGAUGAGGCCGUCUGGAUCUGUUCGGACGGGCCGGCGGAGGAUGGUUUGGCGGCGGCGGCUCCCUGCUCCGCUUACCAGAUGGAGACGACUGGGUUAUACGGGUUCCGACGGGCCGCUUCUGCUCCAGUGCGCGCGCGGAGCUCACCGCGCCCCCGCCCCGGUCCAAGCCGCUACCAGAUGGAGACGACUGGGACAUAUGGGUCCCGGCGGGCCGCUUCUGCUCCAGUGCGCGCGCGGAGCUCACGGCGCCCCCGCCCCGGUCCGAGCUGCUACCAGGGAGAAGGCUGUUACACUUAUCAGCGCUGGUCGGGCCACUGGGGAUGAUCGGGGCAGCAUCUCCACCGGAUAGAAAGAAGGCCAACGUCCGAGUGCGCCCAGUGCAGUCAGCAGUGACACCGAAUGUCCAACAGGCCGCUGCCUGGUCUGCGGCGAAGCAGCAGACAAUUAGGCGCACGUGUUGCUGGAGUGUCCGUGCUUUUACGGCCUCCGGCUCCGUGCGCGAGGAAACAUCGUCGGCGCGGCCCACGAUGUCGAACGCGACGACAUGGUGGCGAUCUUGGUCGCCGGCUACGAGGCCCACAAGAGCCUUGUUUUGGCUACGGCGGCAGCUAGUUUGGGGACACCACAACAGCUGACGGCGGCCGCGGCCCCAGAGAUGCGCACCUGCGGGCAGGGCGGCCGCUGAUCUACAUCUCAGCUGAUUAUACUGAACAGACGGAGGAGACUGAGGCGCUGGACAACGAGUCUGUCUCUGGCCGUACUGAAGACGCUGCGUCGGAAGACCGUCAGUUCUGGUUGGGAAUCUGGCUGCUCUGACUCCGUCCAGCUGGCCGACGAGUGCGUGCCAAGACAGCCGCCGCCGCCGCCGCCGCUCGCGCGCCAAGACGGCCGUCUACCGGCGCCGAUGCCGCCACGCGCACGCUAGACGCCCGUCCACUGGUGCCACCGCCCCACGCGCGCGCACAGUCGGCAGCCGCCGCGUGUGCGUGCCCGCCCAGAAUAUGCGCUCUGCCGCCGUUGACUGCGGCUCGAGAUUCAUGUUCAAUGUUUAGGCAUACACUCAUGUUAAUUGUCUACGUUCAUGAAGGUGCGUGGUGACAAAGAUGCCUCGUCUGUGGCAGCGGAUUUGCUUGUUCCGCCUCAACAUGUGCAAAGUUGUUAUGUAAACUGUUGCGCUCGGCAUUCGCCGUCCGCUCGCGCUGGUGGCGCGCGAACGAAUGACCUGGCCCUGUUCAUGCGGACCUGACGAGCGGCGGUAUGACGCAAUCACAUAGGCGGAUUACUUUUCACCGCGAAGAAAAUCAUUAUCAGCUGGCUUAAAAUUAUGCAAUUGUUUGCCCUCAGUUCGCCAGGUAAUAUCAUUCUUUGAUCAUUCAUGCUGACUUGCGUGGCUGAUAUUUGAUAAUAUAUGGUGUGAAGCGUUCCA
rnacentral:lncRNA from 1 species